AUUGAACGCUGGCGGCAGGCCUAACACAUGCAAGUCGAGCGGAGCGGCGGACGGGUGCGUAAUGCUUAGGUAUCUGCCUGGUCGUGGGGGAUAACGUUCGGUAAUGGGCGCUAAUACUGCUUACUUUCAGUUGAGGCUAGGUCGGUUUAGCUAGUUGGUGGGGUAAAGGCCUACCAAGGCGACGACCCGUAGCUGGUCUGAGAGGAUGAUCAGUCACACUGGAACUGAGACACGGUCCAGACUCCUACGGGAGGCAGCAGUGGGGAAUAUUGGACAAUGGGCGAAAGCCUGAUGCAGCCAUGCCGCGUGUAUGAAGAAGGUCUUCGGGUUGUAAAGCACUUUAAGUUGGGAGGCGUUACCAGCAGAAGAAGCACCGGCUAACUCCGUGCCAGCAGCCGCGGUAAUAC
rnacentral:rRNA from 1 species